AGGGCACCACCAGGAGUGGAGCCUGCGGCUUAAUUUGACUCAACACGGGGAAACUCACCAGGUCCAGACACAAUAAGGAUUGACAGAUUGAGAGCUCUUUCUUGAUUUUGUGGGUGGUGGUGCAUGGCCGUUCUUAGUUGGUGGAGUGAUUUGUCUGCUUAAUUGCGAUAACGAACGAGACCUUAACCUACUAAAUAGGACUAUUAGCUUUUGCUGAUUUGUUCUUCUUAGAGGGACUAUCGAUUUCAAGUCGAUGGAAGUUUGAGGCA
rnacentral:rRNA from 1 species